AUUGAACGCUGGCGGCAGGCCUAACACAUGCAAGUCGAGCGAGCGGCGGACGGGUGAGUAAUGUAUGGGGACUGCCCGAUAGAGGGGGAUAACUACUGGAAACGGUGGCUAAUACCGCAUACUGUCGGAUAACCCAUAUGGGAUUAGCUAGUAGGUAAGGUAAUGGCUUACCUAGGCGACGAUACCUAGCUGGUCUGAGAGGAUGAUCAGCCACACUGGGACUGAGACACGGCCCAGACUCCGACGGAGGCAGCAGUGGGGAAUCUUGCACAAUGGGCGAAAGCCUGAUGCAGCGACGCCGCGUGCGGGACGAAGGCCUUCGGGUUGUAAACCGCUUUCAGCAGGGACGCGGUACCUGCAGAAGAAGCCCCGGCUAACUACGUGCCAGCAGCCGCGGUAAUAC
rnacentral:rRNA from 1 species